GAGGGGAUAGCUCAUUGGUAGAGCACAUGCUUAGCAUGCAUGAGGGGUCCUGGUUCUAUCCCCAGUCCCUCCU
rnacentral:tRNA from 1 species